rnacentral:rRNA from 1 species
UACGAAGGGGGCUAGCGUUGCUCGGAAUGACUGGGCGUAAAGGGCGCGUAGGCGGUUUGUUUCGUUAGGCGUGAAAUUCCUGGGCUCAACCUGGGGACUGCGCUUAAGACAAGCAGACUGGAGUGUGAAAGAGGGUCGUGGAAUUCCCAGUGUAGAGGUGAAAUUCGUAGAUAUUGGGAAGAACACCGGUGGCGAAGGCGGCGAACCUGGUUCAUUACUGACGCUGAGGCGCGAAAGCGUGGGGAGCAAACAGG